rnacentral:rRNA from 1 species
GCUGGCUUGUCAUCCUUUGGCUGCAUGUGCUCGCCCCAGCAAUCCUUUUCCAAACACCUGUGCACCUUCCUUGUGAGAAUGGGAGAGAAAGGGCUUGUCUCUUUUAUCUCAUCUCAUGAUUCAUAAACGCUGUUCGUAAUGUUGAAUGCAUUUAUGCCGUCAAGGCUUUAACCUAAUACAACUUUUGACAACGGAUCUCUUGGCUCUCGCAUCGAUGAAGAACGCAGCGAAAUGCGAUAAGUAAUGUGAAUUGCAGAAUUCAGUGAAUCAUCGAAUCUUUGAACGCACCUUGCGCUCCCUGGUAUUCCGGGGAGCACGCCUGUUCGAGUGUCGUGAAACUAUCAAGCCAGGAUGCUUUCUUGCUUCCUGGUCUUGGUUUAUUGGGCUUUGCCGUGCCCCUUCAUUGGGAACGGCUGGCCUUAAAAGCAUUAGCUGACUCCAUGUGGUUAUUGGUAUUCUACUUGGCGUGAUAAUAAUCUGACCGCUGAGAAAGUGUCCUUUCGGGGAUGGCCAAUUUUCAUGUGGGGUUGCUCCUAAUCUCUGGAGCUUUCAUGUUCCAUUUUCAACUUUGGCCUCGAAUCAGGUGGGACUACCCGCUGAACUUAAGCAUAUC